UUUCGGAGCCAGACCUUCGCUCCGGGUUCUUUGAAUCAGGAGAGGAAAGUCCGGACACCAUCGGGCAGGAUUCCGUGUGAAAGCACGGGCGUCGCGUUUCAAGGCGCGGCGACGGACAGUGUCACAGAAAAUAGACCGCCUCGCGGGCAACUGCGGGGUAAGGGUGAAAAGGUGGGGUAAGAGCCCACCGCGUCUUCGCGCAAGCGGGACGGCACGAAAAACCCAAUCCGGUGCAAGGCAACAUAGGCGGCUGGGCGGCCCGUCCGAUAGCCGCGGGUAUGCCGCAUCCGCCUUUCCCCCGCGCAAGCGGGCUACGGCGGACUGGGUCGCCUCGUGCGGCCCUGAGAGAAAUGAAGGUCACCCCGAUUCGUCGGGGCACAGAAUCCGGCUUACGGCGACGAAACUAG
rnacentral:RNase_P_RNA from 1 species